rnacentral:rRNA from 1 species
CAUGGGCGCAAGCCUGAUCUAGCCAUGCCGCGUGAGUGAUGAAGGCCCUAGGGUCGUAAAGCUCUUUCAACUGUGAAGAUAAUGACGGUAGCAGUAGAAGAAACCCCGGCUAACUCCGUGCCAGCAGCCGCGGUAAUACGGAGGGGGUUAGCGUUGUUCGGAAUUACUGGGCGUAAAGCGUACGUAGGCGGAUUAAUAAGUUAGAGGUGAAAUCCCAGGGCUCAACCCUGGAACUGCCUUUAAAACUGUUAGUCUUGAGAUCGAGAGAGGUGAGUGGAAUUCCAAGUGUAGAGGUGAAAUUCGUAGAUAUUUGGAGGAACACCAGUGGCGAAGGCGGCUCACUGGCUCGAUACUGACGCUGAGGUACGAAAGUGUGGGGAGCAAACAGGAUUAGAUACCCUGGUAGUCCACACCGUAAACGAUGAAUGCCAGACGUCAGCAAGCAUGCUUGUUGGUGUCACACCUAACGGAUUAAGCAUUCCGCCUGGGGAGUACGGUCGCAAGAUUAAAACUCAAAUGAAUUGACGG